UAUGCCCUGCAGUCCGAACAAUCGAUUUCGACUCAUCGGACGUCUCACGUCACUAACUUGACGAUUUACCAUCUCUACCACAAAUCAAAACAAAACAAAGUUAUAUUUACAUCAAAAAACUAAGACAAUUGGACGAAAUUGGUGGCUUCGAUGUCCUUGCCACAACGCACCCACCCAACCUUGGGUGCCCCAAGAAAGAUGUGGGAGGCACACCCUAUCUCCGGCAGACCGGAGUCUAUUCCUGGUGGAUUAGGAUCGGCUCAUGUCCCCGCCCAAGGUAAUUCACACAACCAUCUCGGUAGCUUGUUCACAUUUAAUUUUUGAAACAUUUAAGGCCUAUCUCAGACCGUCGCCCAGAUGAAAAGCGGUCAAAGCGGCAACAACCGAAGGGAAACUUUUAGACGCUUAAUAUUACAAGUGUCAGGCGAAAUCUCCGCACGGCACUAAAUUGGAGGCGUUUGCCAACCGGGCCGCCUAAUCCUGAGGAGCUCCAAGGGAAAAGAAGGGACGUGCUGAAAAGACGUAGUUGGACGCGCGGCUAGGGCUCGGAAUUAAGCCUCUAAUUUUAGAUUAGAUUUCACAAGUUCAACGUCGGAUGUGGUGAAACAGCAGCCAGAAUAGAAAAAUCGCUAGCGUCUGCGUAAGAGGGGCCGGAGGCAGUGCGUCGGUGGACUUAGAGAUGACCACGUGGCCAGCGCGGGCAUUCGUUCCCGGAACGGACUCACCGAGGGAAUCUCCGUAUCUGCACGUCUCGGAGGCAGUCGUUGUAGCUGCUGACGCUGGAGGCUGC